AUCCAUUAAAAUAACUUUCUAUUUUCUCAGCUGCCUUGAUAUCGGCUGUAUCAACAGUGUGACGCUACAACAAGCCAACUAGCACAAUGACAAAAGACUUUAGCAAACAAAUAAAACCACACUUUUCAUCGAGCAAACACCAGAGGAUGCUGUGAAGCUGCUGAAACUCUGCAAGUAAGAAGGGAAGGAGACCUCUGAGCUGGACUCUCUUCUGCCAUCAGCUGGAGGACAGGAUCCCUGAUGAGCCAGGAGACCUGAGCCACUGGAGACAGGACUGAGGGAAGGAGUGUGUCAUUAUUCGCAGGAAACAUCUGUGGCCAAGGGAGAAGGGCACUACCACCUUAGGGGCUGUGGAUUGGUUCUCCUGGCUGUAUGAAGGAGGGAAAGCGCAACUACAGAGCAAGAAGCUGCUGUGCUGAAAUUGCUUCAGGCUACUUCCUGGAGGCCACUGUAGCUGUUUAUACAGACUAAACGUCAUGUUUGCUGUUAUGAAAGUCCAUCCGGAAGCCAAAAUACACACCCUUUCAUCUUCCCUGG